CCUACGGGGGGCAGCAGUAGGGAAUAUUGCUCAAUGGGGGAAACCCUGAAGCAGCAACGCCGCGUGGAGGAUGAAGGUUUUCGGAUUGUAAACUCCUUUUGUUAGAGAAGAUAAUGACGGUAUCUAACGAAUAAGCACCGUCUAACUCCGUGCCAGCAGCCGUGGUAAUACGGCGGGUGCAAGCGUUACUCGGAAUCACUGGGCGUAAAGGGCGCGUAGGCGGGAUAGCAAGUCAGAUGUGAAAUCCUAUGGCUUAACCCUAGAACUGCCUUUGAAACUGUUAUUCUAGAGUAGGGGAGAGGUAGGUGGAAUUCUUGGUGUAGGGGGAAAAUGCAUAGAGAUCGAGCAGAA
rnacentral:rRNA from 1 species